rnacentral:rRNA from 1 species
ACGCUCGACACCUACGGGAGCAGCAGUGGGGAAUAUUGCACAAUGGGGGAAACCCUGAUGCAGCGACGCCGCGUGAGCGAAGAAGUAUUUCGGUAUGUAAAGCUCUAUCAGCAGGGAAGAAACUGACGGUACCUGACUAAGAAGCACCGGCUAAAUACGUGCCUGCAGCCGCGGUAAUCUGAGCGGGCUGGCAAGGC